rnacentral:ncRNA from 1 species
AGCGCUGCCGGCGCUAUAUAAGGGAAAGCGAUUGUCAUAGUUUCGCCUACGGUUUUGAAUAGCCGACGCUAUAGAAUAUUCAUGGUUUAUGUUUCGUACCUAUUUUAAGAAGCAUAUUCCAUAAAUGGUAGAAGAAGUUACGACGCCAGUACCGCCGGCGAUUGAAAGAGCGGACGAAUGAGUAACAAAGGGUAAGGUUAAAUCGCUAGACUUAGAUUCUAGUAACGGCGCAAGUCGUGGGAUUACAUAGGUACAUCGGUAACGAUGUAAUUAGUAGGGCAAAUUGGAUUUAGACGCUAAAUAAUAUGUACGGUAGUAGAAUACCGGCUAUAAAUA